rnacentral:misc_RNA from 1 species
GGAGUUAAAACUGUACCACAAAUUUAGCAUUUAGCUUUAUUCCUCAGUUGCUAAAAAUCAUCUUUCAUCACUUGUGUUUUGCGAUUUAGUAUUUGUUUGAUUGGUUGUUUCCAAUUCGAUUGUGUUUUUGGUUGUUAUUUUGGUUUUCAAUAAAAAUUUGAAGCAUGGCUACUUAUCUGAUUUCUAAAAUAUGUAGUUGUUCAUUUAUUUAUGUGCCUAUGGAUGUGCAUGAAUGCGUGGAAUAUUUUUUUGAUUCCUGAUUUUCAAAUAUACUAGAAACAAACUUGAAACACCAACCCUCCUCCCCCCUCUCCCCCCUUCCUUCGCUUUCACUUUGACCACUCUAUUUUUAUUUUUAUUUUUGGGGUUGAAGGGUAGGGAGAGGGAGGUGUAAGAGGAGUUAAAUUCUCAACUGUCUGCCUGCACUAUGGGGCAGGUUUUUGACUACUAGGCUAUUGGCUUCAUGGAACUUUUGCUUUUUGUAUAUGAUCUUAUAAGAAGGAGUACUAAGCUAGUUUUAAUGCCCAAACCUAUUGUAUCAUGUUAUGAAAAUUUUUCAUAGGAGCUUAAAUAGGCUUUAGCAGUUGAUUCUUAAACUUAUUUUUCUGGGUUAUAAAGUUUUGGUUUAUGUAUUAUUUAUCCUUGGUUUUAGGAGUGAGGGUAUUUUAUUUUUUUACUCUUUUGCUACGAUGGACUAAUCUGUAGUGUUUUGAGUCUUAUUUAGGUCUAUUAAUUUUAGUGGCGCUUUAUAUUAAUUUCUAAAAGUUGUUUGGCAUCUGAUCUUUUUAGUUUCCUGUUUGCAGUCUAAAUUCUUGUUAUAGACUACUCAACUCAACUCAACUCAA